rnacentral:lncRNA from 1 species
UUUCUUUUUAAAUGGAAGUACUUAUGUUGCAAAUAGGCCAUUGGUUCUAUGAGUGGACGGUUGUAGAUAGGUUAUAUAAGGUUUUAUAAUUAAAUUUUAAAGGUUAAAAUAGUAAUUAGUAUAUUAUAAUGAAAUUAAAUAAAACAAUCAUAAAAAGCCAUGCAUUUUAGUUCACUAUUGACCGAAACUUAAAGAAAAUAAAGCUUUAGAAAGUUUCAAGCAUUCGGC